CAAACAAGAACUAACAAAAAUUGCUCAUCUACCAGUACGAUGAUGAUUAUGUGGAUAUUUCAAUCCUAUUUGAUGGAAAAACCAAACGAAAGGGUUAGAUUAUAACGGAGAGCAACAGAUACGGACCCAAUUGUAAUAACUGAAAGGUUCAGGAUCAGACUGAGCUAAGCAAAAAGUUGAGGACCCCUGAUGUAAUUUAUCCUUUAAAAACAUACCAAGUCAAGUAUAUUCUCUCGUAUAAGGAAAGAGGAAAUCAAAACGUAUCCAACAGCUCCCAUUGCUCGGACCUGCAUGAUAAGAUUAGAAACACUCAACACUAGAGAAAUUCCAUUGUUAAGCAUGUUCAAUAAAUCGAAUAAAUAGGUAAGAGCAUUACAAUCGAGCAAAGGAAGAUGGAUGUUACCCAAUUUGCCCCAAGCCUGGAAAGAGCGAAUAUCGAGCCGAACACGAGCCAGCUCGCUCAUUUGCCAGCCCUAUAAUUGUGGAGAGUGACGAGAAGAUAAUAAUUUAAUAAAUUUUAAAAGAAAAUUUUGAUUGCAGUGUAGAAUUCAAUGAGAAAGUCAUAUCAUUGUAUUUAAAUAAGAAAAAAGUUUACAGCAUUCCAAACAACAAUAAUUCAAGAAGUACAAGAUAAUAAGGGGCUUGUUUUGUUACACUGUUCGUAAUAUUCUAGUAAUCUUUCGUAUUUUUUUACUGAAAUAUUUAAAUUAUUAUCAUUCAAUUUAAAUUGGAUAGUUGUAAAAAAUAUCAGUAAAAUAGUAAUUAUAAAUACUCAACUAGUAAGAGUAUUUGAUUACCACAGAUUAUGAUGUAUUCUUAUUCUUAUAUUUAAUGAGAAUCAUUAGUUGUUCAUUAAUAAUAAAAAUACAUAAACCGACCGUCCCUAAAGCAAGUGGCAAAAGGCUUGAUGGUUGGUACCCAAGACCCAAGUUCGAAUCCUAGCUGAUUCACAUUUCCAGCUAAGUUUAUUUCAAAAUGAAAUAAACGAAGCGGAUAGCAUACUACCUAUCUCUCUCAAAAAAAAGAAAAAAAAAAAAAAUCUUAACAACCUUCCAAUAUAAGCAGCUUGGUAAGUGAGGAGCAGACUUGCUAUUCUUAAUAUAAAAUAUACUAUUUUCCCGAAAUAUUUCAAACCUUCAACCAAACGGCCCUAACUACCUGUACAUAAAAACACUACAACAUUAAACAUAACAGCAGCUUACAGCUAUCUCAAAUAAAACUUGAAGAACAGUAUUAGAUUUAGACCAAAGUAGUGGUUCAUUUCAUUUGUUUGAAAUAUUUUGAAAAUAUCAUAUAUUUUACAUUUGAAAUGACUAAUUUGUUAAUAAUAACAUGCCACUGGGGUUCGAAUAUUAUUUCAGACUUGUAUAUUCUUAUUAACCGACUAUUCAUAAUCUUCAUCAAGUCCGAAAAUAACAAAACUUCCAACCCCGAAUAUUAUAAUCAAGAAUUUAAGUGUCCAUCGGCACGGAUCGUUUCUUUUCUACUGUAUCGUGCUAACAAAUUAUCAACACGAUACAGUAAAAUACAUAAUAAACAGUUAGAAUAUUUUGUUUCUAAAAAAAAUAAAUAAAUAUUUUAUAUUAUUAUGUGUCUGCACACAUAAAUUUUUUAUGACUAACACGCAUUCACAUAGCCCGGCACGCACCGGAAAGUCUCCGAUAGGAUCCUGUGCCACGACGCUUAAAUUCUUGAUUACAAUAAACCUACUUGCAGGAAAUAAAAAAUAUAAAAGAUUACUGAAAUAUUAUAAACCACGGACGGGUCUUAAAAGUUUACUAUAAUGUGGGUUUUUUAAUUAAUGCACCUAGUUAAGUUGCAAUAUAACAAAUAAAAUCAAAACCAGAAAAGCAUAAAAAGAAAAAAAAACAAAAGACAAGAUACCCUUCUUGAUAAGAACUAUAUCUAAAUUAAUAGUUCUAUUAUCAGACAAUUUAUUUAAAUUGAAAGAUUCUUUUCUAUCAAAGUAUAACUGACGCCAUCAGCAAGUCAUUUUUCGUAAACUUUUUGCAUCUAUAUUCAACAAUUAUGUCCAAAAUUUUGUGCCCAUUUAAAAACAAGAGCAAGAUGCAGCAACCAUAGAAAAAUGUCAGGGUUUAACGAGAUAAAGGGUGAGAGUGCAAGGUUGGUUUUGCACUUUAGCCUUGUGUUUUUCUAUUUCUUCAUAAAGAUUUCAAUUACAAUGAACAAUUACAACCCGGAAAUUAAUGUGCCAACACUAAUUUUAUACAGAAUAGUAACAGUGGAAUUAAAAAAAAAAGAAGAACAAGCUUUGAAGAUUGAUUCCAAGGUUUCCUAUAUUUUGUAUGGGUGGCAAUAAAUUUCGCAAAAAUGCCCUCAAAUUGCUUUAUCCAGCCAUUUUGGAAGUUUCAAAGAAGCCCUCAAUCCAAGUUUUGUAAGGAUCACAGCAUACAAUAUAUGCAGCAAAAAAACAAAGAAUCCACAGUUGAGUAGAAGCUGUUCAGCAACAAAAACAGAUGAAUUAACAGCAUCCGAGCGCAAUAUCAUACACGAAUUCAGCGAAAGAACUGCGAGAUUUGAAAUGAUGUAAAAGUUACCAGAGUUCCAAAUAAGAGAUAGAUGGCGUCCAUCGUUGGAACGACAUUGACUCCUAUGGCCGUCAGUAUGUAGGUGAGCGAAGCGUGAAUGUUAAUGGUGAUCUGCAGAUGAUCAAUUGUUUAGUCUCCAGAAAUGUUCACACUUGAAGGUUAGGAUUCGUGUUUUGGAAAUAGGUAAAUUGCACCACGGAUCACUGACACUUCCAAGAGGUUUUAGUUUCUCAACGAUCUUCAAAUUGUUACAGCUCAGUCUGUAAACUUUAAUUUCUGCAGCAAUCUUUACCCUUUUCAUUGACUUAAAAGUAAAUUGAUGUUGCCAAACAAGAACUAACAAAAAUUGCUCAUCUACCAGUACGAUGAUGAUUAUGUGGAUAUUUCAAUCCUAUUUGAUGGAAAAACCAAACGAAAGGGUUAGAUUAUAACGGAGAGCAACAGAUACGGACCCAAUUGUAAUAACUGAAAGGUUCAGGAUCAGACUGAGCUAAGCAAAAAGUUGAGGACCCCUGAUGUAAUUUAUCCUUUAAAAACAUACCAAGUCAAGUAUAUUCUCUCGUAUAAGGAAAGAGGAAAUCAAAACG
rnacentral:lncRNA from 1 species